CGAGCGGAUGACGGGAGCUUGCUCCUUGAUUCAGCGGCGGACGGGUGAGUAAUGCCUAGGAAUCUGCCUGGUAGUGGGGGACAACGUUUCGAAAGGAACGCUAAUACCGCAUACGUCCUACGGGAGAAAGCAGGGGACCUUCGGGCCUUGCGCUAUCAGAUGAGCCUAGGUCGGAUUAGCUAGUAGGUGAGGUAAUGGCUCACCUAGGCGACGAUCCGUAACUGGUCUGAGAGGAUGAUCAGUCACACUGGAACUGAGACACGGUCCAGACUCCUACGGGAGGCAGCAGUGGGGAAUAUUGGACAAUGGGCGAAAGCCUGAUCCAGCCAUGCCGCGUGUGUGAAGAAGGUCUUCGGAUUGUAAAGCACUUUAAGUUGGGAGGAAGGGCAGUAAGCUAAUACCUUGCUGUUUUGACGUUACCGACAGAAUAAGCACCGGCUAACUCUGUGCCAGCAGCCGCGGUAAUACAGAGGGUGCAAGCGUUAAUCGGAAUUACUGGGCGUAAAGCGCGCGUAAGUGGGUCGUUAAGUUGGAUGUGAAAGCCCCGGGCUCAACCUGGGAACUGCAUCCAAAAC
rnacentral:rRNA from 1 species